rnacentral:lncRNA from 1 species
GGGGCAUGAUGUUUCUCCCUAUCGUUACAUCGCCUGCUCCAGCCCUUCCCCUGGCGUCCCCCUCCCCUGCUCUUUCUCUCUCACUUCCUUUCUCCAGCCCCCUGUUGCUCUCUGCCCACCUCUCCUCUCUGCCUGCCUGCUUUCCUGCUUCCCCAGCUCUCACUCCCCAUUUGCAGCCUCUCAGCCUCGCCUUCUGUCCUCCUCUCACUGUCGUCUCCUUGUCUCCUCAGCGGGGUACAGUAAGAGCGGCGCGGGGUUGUUUUUUCCUCCUUCGUUGCCUGUUAGAAGUCCCUCUGCUACACCCAAACCAUAAAUAACACUCAAGCAUCUGCCAAACACAUUCCUCACUUGUGUUAAUAGGCUGCAGUGAUGCCGGAGCCUGUUGCCAUGGCAACCUCAUUUUUGUUUGACUGUAUCCCACUCUGCUACAUAAAGCUUCUGCACGCACUCACACACAAACAAGUACACUCACACAACUAUUACAUAUGCUUGGCUAUUAGAGAUUAUUUUGGAGAAAACAUCUUUGGGCCCCAUGGGGACGGGCAGUCAUUUGGCCAAGGAGAUGAGUAUCUCUGCUUGUCCACUGUUACUCUAGGAGGUGAUAAUGGAUGGAAGACCUCUUUGAAACGUAGAGAGUUUGGUUCAAAUGUGGGGUUUUAUUAUUCUGCAGCCACAUGAAACCCACCUGAAAUGGUUUCGGAAAAGAAGAUCCUGACGCCACGUGGGUCCCUGUGAGCUUGGGAUAGCUGUCAGAGGUUGCCCUUGCCGUGUGGGCUGACCAUUACCAACCCAGCCUGCCUUCAGCUCCUUCUGCUCUGCCCCCUAACCCUUUGGGAGAAACUCAGUGGUAUCCUGCAUUUCUUCCUUUGUGCCUGUUUGAACCCCCAACUGUUACCACUUGUUCCAAAGAUCAGAAAGGCACAGGCUCUGUGUGGGUGAUGUUCUGUGGCUGUGAGCACGUGUGAAUGUCUGUAGUCAGGAGUCUGGGGAUGGAUGGGGGAUGGGGAAGCAGAUCAGGAACUGACUGCUGUGGCUGCUGAGGGGUGGAUGCCUGCGUCCAUGCCUGGGUGUGUGUCCUGUAGGCUGGUCCCAGUAUGUGCUUGUAUGUGUGUGUGUGUAUGUGUGUCUGUCUGUCUGUCUGUCAUGUGGGCUAGCCUGGGUGAUGGAGGUGGGCCCAGGGAAGCCUUUGUGUUGACUUGGAAAGGAGAGCAUCACAGCUCUGUCCUGUUUAUUCCUGGUUGGUGGCUGGCUUCCCAUGGCUGUUUGUCUUUCUGAUUCUGGGCCUUGAUUGACCUUCUUACCUUGACCUCUGGCUCCUCGGGGUAGUACUCUGGAUGCACACGCCUCCUCCCCCCUUUCCAUAAUGAGGCUGGGGCUAGACUUGCGUGGUCAGUUCCCCUGACCCCAGGGAGUCCUGCCCUUCCCUUUCAAAAACCCGAGCUGCCCACCUACUCGGCCAUCCGCUAAAUCCCAUCAGAGCUGCCGCCUCACUCUGGAACCUGUCCCAGAGGCCUAUAUGGUGGGUCACUGUGGCUGCCCCCUAGAGGAUGGUGGAAGGGGAUACACACUUUCACCACAAUCCUGGGGCUCAUCUGCCACCUGUUACUUACCCCAUCGUAUACAUUUCUGGACAGGAGAAAUCUUGCUGUAGUGAACCUCAGCAGCAACAGCAGGCUGGCCUGGGAGGCUGGCUCCGAGUUUGUAGCCGGGGAGGGUCUGCUCAUCUUGGCUCAUCACUAAUUGUAUCUGCCAAUUAUAUUUGCUAAUUGUCUUCAAUUAUGUUGCCUCUUUCUCUGUGCAGCAAGAAGGGGCUGCUGGGAGGGGAGCAGAGCCUCAGGGCCGGGGGUCCAGCAGGGCUGCUGGAUAGGGAAUAGGGGGCUGUUUUUGGAUCCCAUGGGUGUCCCAAUGCCUGUGGAGAAGACUUGAGUGGCAAAGACCCACCCGAGGAGCAGAACCAUCAGCUGCUGUAUCUGCGGGAAUGUUGACCAUUAAUAUUCAAAAUUUAAGUUUUGAUCUAGAGCAAGAGUGUGAGAUGUGUGUGCUGUGGAACACAGGACAGUGUGCUUGUGUUUGUCUGUAAAGAGGACACAUGCAAUGUAUUAAACCCCAUCGUGGAAAUCUGCCCAGCCUUACAGAAGGGCUUUAAAAAUCAGCGUAAAAGGUCUGGACAGACACUCUUCUGGGUAGACAGGUCCUGGCCUUGAGUUACUCUGUCAGGGAGCAGCUGGCAGCUAGAGCAGGGCUGUGGCCUGCUGGGGCAAGCCUGUUCUCCCGAGAGGUGCAGAUGGAGUGCCCACUUUGGUCCCAGCCAGGGAUGGGUGGGUGCUUGGGAAGGGGGACCCAACGGGGAAUCCUCCCUGUGAUAGCACCAGCCUAUCAGGUAACUUCCAGUUGCUGGGUAACUUCCAGUUCGCAGCUGCCUGCUUGGCACCUCCAUUAACUUUAUGUAUCUUGUGGCGGGUCCAGUUCCUGGUCCGGUACUUCUCAGGAGCAUCGCUUGUGUUAGGAAUGAAACAGCCUGCUCCGGGAGCUCCAGACCUGAUCAUGCCCCUGAAUCCUUUGGGUACAGUUACAUAAGUUACACUUUAGCAUAUCCUUCGCUCAUCCAUGCUCAUCAGGUGGCGGGAGUUUGCUAGCAGCGGCCAGAUCGGUGUUCAUUUUUCUCUGCCAAACACAAACUCCAUAAAGGUAUUUGGAAAGCCUGACUCCUUACCCCUUUCUCCAGGCAGUGUCCAAAUGCAAGAAGGGGACCAUCUCUCUUUACAACACUGUGAACAAAAUUUCUCCUUUCUAGUCAAUGGACCUUGAUCAUGGGAACCUGUGUUCUGAUUUGGCUGUUAGGAAAACAUCCAGUGGGGUCUUGGUUAGGCUUAUGGGCAUCUCCACUUUAUAGGCAGAUUGAGACCCCACCUGGAGUACUGUUUGAUUCUAGAAUUGAGACGAGGGCACCAGUUUGCUAAGGGCAUUGGGAACCUUGACUUCUGAGAGAAUACUUGAAAGAAUGGGCGGUGCUUAGCUGGGAGGAGAGCAAGGUAAGAAACCAGAGACAUGGACAAGGCAUUAUUUACUGCUGUGAUCCCUGCUGGCAGAUGUUAGAAGAGGGACUAAAUUUAUUUUUAGUUGCUCCAAAGGGCAGAUUGGGGGCAAAUGGGUGGAAACAGUAGACAGAUUUCAUCUCCAGGUAGGAGAUACCUUUCUAGCCUUUGGGGUUGUAGCCAACAAACCAGAUGCCUCUUGGAGUCACCAGCUGUGUCAGUGGAGGUGUUCAAGGGGAGACUGGAUGGCUGUCCACCAGCAUGUUACUGAGGAGAUGGAAGGCCCUGCUUCCAAAAGAACUGGGCUGGGUCCCAAGAAGGGAUAUGUCUUUUUUUUUUUUUGUCUUUCGAGGGCUGCACCCUCGUCAUAUGAAAGUUCCCAGGCUAGGGGUAGAAUCAGAGCUGCAGGUGCUGCCCUACGCCAGAGCCACAGCAGUGUGGGAUCUGAGCCAUGUCUGAGACCUACACCCACAGCUCAAGGCAACACCGGAACCUUAAUCCACUGAGCAAGGUCAGGGAUUGAACCUGCAUCCUCAUGGAUCCUAAUCCGAUUCAUUACCACUGAGCCACAAUUGGAACUCCAGGGAUCUGUCUUUUGAACAGCUUGGAUCUAGUUUUCAAAGCUCUCCAGCUGAGCUUGAUGACCAACUGUUAGGUUUGGGGUCCUUGAGCAAGAUAACUGCUCAGGUCACACCCACCCCUCAGAUUCUGUGGUUUCGUGUCUUGCCACAGCACGACUGCCUGUUGCAGUCUGUUGGGGGUCCCAUCUCCAUGUUUCACAGUCGCAGAGUCACUGCAGAGCUGCAGCCCAAUUUGGAGUGUCCUGAUGUAGGAUGCAGAGCUGGAAGGUGAUUGGAGAUGGUGGAAUAGGACGGGAAGGAGCUCCCAGACCUGGACCCGAACCCUCCUCUCAUCCUGCUGUUCCCAUCCCUGCACUCUGGUUUGAGGCACAGCAAUGCAUGGCUCACCCUUGGUGGAGGCAGUGGUCGGAGGGGCGGUCAGCAGGAAAAUGAACCGCAGUUUACGUCCUGGUUUAUUCAUUUGUUUGUAUGAAGUGAAUAUGACAAACACCGAGGAUACCCCAAGUCCAGAAUGGAUGGUACAGAAAGCGGAAAAUGAGAUCAGGAGACAGGCAAGAGGUGGGGAGUUAGGAGAUGGUUUGAAGGAGGAGGCGGCGGCUUGUGAGGAAAGGCAGAGGAGAUGAGCUGUGGGGAGGAGAAAAGCUUGAAGGUGGGGGCAGGGAUGCUCUCUGGGAACAAUGGGAUAUAGUCACAAGAAAAGGGGGGUAAACAAACAAACACUGGGAGACAGUAGUGGCUUUAUUCGUUUGGCCAGCCUCCUAUGUCAGCCCGCACUCCACCCCCACCCGGCCCCCUGCACACACACACUUCUUGCUCCGGGAGGGUUAUGAGUCUUCCUGACCUCACACUUGGGUGGCGCCCUCUCCAUCCCUCUUAGGGGCUCCCUGGGUGUUAUCACACAGCUCGAUGGCAUCCCCCCUUGGCUCUUGGAAGGGGUCCUGAGGGACCUCAGUGCCUGGCAUGUAGUAGGUGCUCAGCGAGGGUGUGAAUGAAUGAAUGAACGGGCGGUGGGGUGGGUGGACGGCUGCACGCAGACUCUCGGCUCUGCCGAAGUGCUAGACCAACACCUCCACAGAAGGAAGCGAUGCAGCUUGGCUUGGAAGCCUAUUUUGGUGGAUUGUUAUCCUAAACUCUGAGCAGGGCUUCCAGAAUCCCUCCUGCUGCAAUUUAAAACGUGUGCCUUCUUGGAAACAGAGAUCUGUUGCCUGGCACUGCCGGUACUAUAUGCCUUCACAGAUUUGAAAGCCAUUAUUAAGUCAUUCUUUCAGCCUUCUCCCCAUUCAUUCAGACAACAACCAUUUAUUAGGUGCCUACUGUGUACCAGGCACAGCACCCAGCCCUGCCUUUGGCCCAGAUGCUCCUACUGACUGUCCUUUGGAGGGAGCUUAAUAGGUAUUUCACAUAUACAUACAUUCAAUUUUGUCAGGUAAGUUUAGGAAAUACUGGAUUAAGCAGAAUUCUUUAUUGUAGAACCUUAAAACUUUGACUAGGUUAAUGUGCAGUAGAAUUUGCCAAGAGGGGCUAUUUCAUGAAGUCUUUAGCGCACAUAUUGGACCCCAGCCCCUGUUUUUGAAGGAACAUGACAGAGAUGGUCAGUGUUUGUUGGAACUUCCCUUAGGCCACACUGCUUCAGGGACUGAGAGAAUCUUUGCAAUUUCUCAGGGUCCAGCCCCCUGCCUCUGGGGUAGGCUAGCCAGAGUCAUCCAGAUGGGAGCAUUUCUUUGUUUGGGGGCCUUCCUCCCUCAGGAAGGAGAUGGCCCGGUCUGCGUUGGCUGGCUGCCGGUUUUACAGUCGCAUGCCCCAUCUGCAUCCAAAAUCUUUAUAAAAUAAAGUGGUGGGGCUGGAAGGGACCAGGGAGAUGCCUCCUUUAUCUAGUUUCAGUUUCCUUUAGAGGUCUCCUGCUGUCAUCAGACAUUGGAGCUGGUUGGGCUUCUCUAUAAGGACCUCUGAUGGGCCUGGGGUCCAUGUGCUGCGUGGCCGUCCACAGGGAAGGAGUGAGGGGCCAUUUCAGAGCAUUCUCUCCCACACCCCCAGAUUUUAUGUUUGUUUGUUUCCUCCCCAGCCCUUCUCUCCAAAAGGAGGAAGCCCUUAAAGAGUAUUGAUCAUAAGCAGUGAGUAUAUAUUGUUUGUAUUGCAAGUCUGGCACUGGGCUACUCCCUUACCUACCUGACCUCAUAUAAUCUUAAUAUCUACCCUACGAGAAAGGCAUUUUUAUCUCCAUUUCAAGGCUGCAGAAAAUGGGAUAAGAGAAGGGAUGUAACUUCCCCAAGGUCACUCAGCGAGUAAGCAUGGCAGAUGGUUCAGCGCCCGCCCAGAUUCCCUGGGCAUGUACCUCUCUGCUCUUGCCAGCCAGACUGCCAGCUGUCAGCACCUGAGGGCUUUCUCUGGCCCUGAGCCUCUCUGCCUGCUUGUCGGCCAGGUCAGAAGUGCUGGGGACAGAGUUCCCAUCCCCAGCGCGGCUCUCAACCAAGGACUUUUGGACGCUGGUGGACAAAGAGCCCAGCUCCCUUUACGGGGGGCAGGUGCAUAACCGUGAGACAAGCCUUCCCUGUGGCUCCCGGUCCUGCAGGAUUCAGUGCUGGUUGCCCACAGUGGUAACAGGCUUGAACACAUUCCUUUCCUUCCUUCUUCCCUCCCUUCCUUCCUUUCUUUUUCUUUUCUUUCUUUCUUUCUUUCUUUUUUUACUUUCUUUCCUUCUUUAUCUCAUUUCUCCACUCCCCAUCUAAUGUUUUCUGGGAUGACCUCUCAGGUAAACCAUUUCUUUCAAAUCUUGUCCGAGGAUCUUUUUCUAGGGGAAAUCCAAAUUGAGGGUCAAGAAGCUGGGAUUCUGGGAGUUCCCAUCAUGGCUCCGUGGUAAUGAAGCCAACUAGUAUCCACGAGGACUUGGGUUUGAUCCCUGGCCCUGCUCAGUGGGUUAAGGAUCCAGCAUUGCCCUGAGCUGUGGUGUAGGUCACAGACAUGGCUCGGAUUCUUUGUUGCUGUGGCUGUGGUGUAGGCAGGCAGCUGCAGCUCCAGUUCAACCCCUAGCCUGGGAACUUCCAUGUGCCCCAGGUGAGGCCCUAAAAGAUAAACAUAUGAACACACACAGAAAGGAAGG